rnacentral:rRNA from 1 species
UCUAGUGAUGAUGGCAAAGAGGUCACACCUGUUCCCAUGCCGAACACAGAAGUUAAGCUCUUUAGCGCCGAUGGUAGUUGGGGGUUUACCGCCUGGGAGAGUAAGACGUAGCCACGG